CGUCAUGGCAGACAAGGGAGCGCCUCCAAACUGGAUGGGAGUCGCUGCCUCAACUGUUUGGUGGGCUACACUACACCAUUGUUUAAGGCUGCCAAGUGCACUCACCAUCCGGGAUAUAUAGUUGCAGAUCAACUGACAAGCACCAAUGGGGAACAAGAAGCAGACGCCAAAUCACAGGUGGACAUGUUGUGACCUGGCAACCCAGACAGCCAACGCUACCUUGGAGGAACAUGCACAGACUGGGUGUACUCUCGGCUUCCAUAACUGGCGUCCUGUCGGGAAACAAGACAGGAGAGAUAUGAAGUCGAGGAUUGUGUGUCAGGAUGAAUCCAGUCUCACUGUGGAGCCAAAGUAGAUUCAAAUUAAAUUAAACAGACUACAAUCCCAUCUCCUGGGAGCUGGAGUUGAUUAUACAAACUACAAUCUCAAUUUAUAGCAAGAGUUGAUUCUUUAGAGCAGUUUGUAAUGGUGCUCAAUCUUACAUCA